CACGAAUCUAAAAUGGAGAUUAAACAAUCUUAAAAGUACAUCUUUGAAGGAAUUAGAUUUUUUCGCCGUGAUCUAGCAACAGUAACAAAGUACAUCACAAUAGAUAAUUUUACCUUGAGGGUUCGGUGAGUGGUUGAAUAUACAUCCCGGACCCAACCAGCCAUAAAGACAAGCAAGUGAAGGCAGAUCCUAGAUCAAGACUAAUUUGACGGCGGAAAACAGAAGUUCUUGUAGAAAAUGAUGGAGCAAACACUGUACAUCUGCCAGAAUAAAUAACAAAACAAUUGAAUAUUUCAAUGUCUUCAAUUAUUUCAACAGAAUAAUUAUAAAUAAAGGCAUUACGGACGAAGAGAA